rnacentral:misc_RNA from 1 species
CGCACAUUGCACUUUUUGGUAUUCCGAAAAGUAUAUUUGUUCGAGCGUCAUUUUAAUAUCAAGUAAUACUUGGAUUUGGACUUUAUCUUAAGGAUAUGUCUUAAAUAUAUUUGGUUGCUUUUAUUUAGCCACAAGUAGCAAUGUUUCUUGAAGGUUAAAAUAAAGUUUCCCCAUAGAAAAAAUUAAAAGUUUGACCUCGGAUCAAAUAAGAUUACCCGCUGAACUUAA